rnacentral:tRNA from 1 species
GGGCUUGUGGUUUAGUGGUAUAAUACUCCCUUAGCAUCAAUCAGCUUCCCUGAUUCAUUAAAUUGAAGAAUGGUCCGCUUCGUGAAAUUGGGAGUGGUCCGGGGUUCGAUUCCCCGCGAGUCCA